rnacentral:rRNA from 1 species
UACGGAGGGGGCUAGCGUUGUUCGGAAUUACUGGGCGUAAAGCGCACGUAGGCGGCUUUGUAAGUUAGAGGUGAAAGCCCGGGGCUCAACUCCGGAAUUGCCUUUAAGACUGCAUCGCUAGAAUCGUGGAGAGGUAAGUGGAAUUCCGAGUGUAGAGGUGAAAUUCGUAGAUAUUCGGAAGAACACCAGUGGCGAAGGCGACUUACUGGACACAUAUUGACGCUGAGGUGCGAAAGCGUGGGGAGCAAACAGG